UUCACAGAGAUUCACCUGCCUCUGCCUCGAAAGUGUUAGGAUUAAAGGUGUGUGCCACUAUGCCUGGAUGUUUUCUUAAUCAUAUCUGCAAGAGAACACCUUUGCCAUGAGAGUGAAUGUUCACAAGGAUGAGGUAGAAGAUAUCAAGAGCAUAUGAUUUAGAGUACGAAACUCGGGAGGACAAACAAAUGUAAAGAUAUGGAGGUAGAGGCUGGAGAGAUGGCUCAGCAGUUAAGAGUGUGUACUGCUCUUGCAGAGAACCUGAGUUCCCACAUCCAAACUGGGCAGAUGGAGCUCCAGGUCAUUUGACGCCCUCUUGUGGCCUCUUUAGGCAACUGCAAGCAUAUGUUCAUAUUGCAACACAGACAUACAUGCAUAAGCAUAACUACAAAAAUAAAAGUAAACCUUAAAAAAACCUCAAAGUUGGGCAACUUUCACUCUGUAGCACAAUGUGCCUAUGCUACACAGAAGGGAACUUCAUUAUAUUCGGUUUAAACUGAGUUUAUAUUCCUAGAUGGGUAAUGGACUCCUUGAUGCUAUUUUUCUUGUAACUUUUUUUUAAGUUAACCACCCAAACCUUCUUUUCUUCAUUUGUAAAUCAACAAUGAUAAAGGUGUCUGAUUUCACAGUGUGACUCUCUAAAGCACUUGGUGUACUAAACCACAUUCAGUAAACCCUAGAGAGUCAUAUGACCAGUCAUCCUAGAGAAUCACAUGACCAGUCAUCUCAUUUCUACCCCGGCUGGUGGAACUCUGGGUAGAUGCUAUGCAAACCCAAAGAGAAACACCUGGUUCUUCCAUGGAAAGGUGUAAAGAGAGGCAAGAAUUUUGCCAGAGUGAAAGGGGCAUAGAUGGAUGUGUUUCAGCUCACAGGGUGAACAGUUAAGAGUGCUAUAGACAAUACAGAUCUGUUCAGCCAGUGCUGCUGCAUGCUCAGUUUCAGCAGGUCCUCUAGUGACAGCAUUUUGCCAUAUGCCUGAGUAUGGGAGUGUGUUUAUUCACUUCCAGUACGUAACAUGGGAAGAGAAGGUUCCCAUGUCACAGGUAACCCUUGUUUCUGAUUUCCAUUUCUGCUCCUUUCCGCUAUUCUAGGUUCAUUCUCAUUGUUCUUGGAACUGGAAGCUUGCAUUGACUUACGGUUCCCCCAACAUUGCCAUGGCAGCAUGCUGUUCAGGGAGUCUCCUGGCCACUACUUUUCACUUUAUACAUUGGAUGUAUCUUGCCCCUGCAGCAGGACUUCAGGAUCCUGAAAGAUGCUGUAGUCACCACUGGAAAACUGGAAGUGAGGUCAAGUCUGGAGAAACAGUGCUGGAAAAAGACUCCAGCCUUGGUGUCGAGCUCUGUGGCUGGGAGCAAC